AAAUGUCAAAACUUUAAAGGCAAAAUGUAAUUCUUCCGAAUAUCUAAUGUAGGAACAUCUUCACUGUUUUUCUUUGCCAGAAUUUGUUAUGAGCUUUUAUCAGUUCUCCACCACCCAUUUCGUGUUGAUCUACAGGUAAAAAGCACAGGGCUUGAAGUAAGCGUCCGAAGAAAUUUGGAUCUUUGUUUCCAUUCAUGCAUACGCACAUUAGUACCCCUAUCUUUAUAUAUGCAUCAUCUGUUAAUCAAGUCAAUGGAAUAUAAAAAGGCAAGUAAAAUGGAGAAUGAGGGGGGAGAAAUCAAAGGUAUAUCAUGUCAGCAGAAACCAUUGUGUAUUUUGUGACACCGAUACAGUGAGUCAAGUGUAAGGUGACAGUCAUGACAUCAGUCAUGAGUUGAAACUGAUUCACACGGCGAGAGCAAUUGCCCGUGCAGGUCUCGAUCUUGCGGACUGAAUAUGCCGUGAUUGUGGCAAAGUGGCGUAUCUGAAUUUACUCCAAACCUCGGCUUAUGACAAACGCUCACAUUCAGCACCCUUUUUGAAGAAACGCUUAAGCAGAGCCCAGCUUGGCGGAUCAUAGCAACUGGAGUUGGCACCAUGCCCUGCUCUCUCUGCAUAAGCUACAACACUGUACAAAUAGUAAGCCGGCACCGGUCUCUCUCACCUACAUCUGAGAACAGUAAUUACAGGAAGCGCA